rnacentral:tRNA from 2 species
UGGGGUAUCGCCAAGCGGUAAGGCACCGGCUUUUGAUGCCGGCAUUCCCUGGUUCGAAUCCAGGUACCCCAG